UAAUUCUCUCUCGCUGUCUCCCUCUCACAGGGGAAAGUGCGACACACUACCUCGUGAAGAACACAAUAAGAACCUUCAAGGAACUGGGGGUCCUGAAAGAGAGCCGCGAGAAGAAAGUCACGCUGCUGGAGGUCAGCAGCACCUUCCUACCUCAAGCAAACAGAACAAAGCUCCUUCAGUACAUCCUGGGUUUCAGCCUCUUGUAAAGCGUGACACACACACACACGCACGCACACACACGCAAAUAUGCGCACAUGCAAGUACACAAACACACAAAUACUCUGCAAAAAGGGCUUUUGCUGGCUAGUUAAAAAAGGUGCUAUUCUAUGGCAAAGCUUUACCAGGAAGUGCCUUCAUAAAAUGAAUUUACGGGAUAAUAGGCUUCUCUUCAGUCUUCCUCCGGAUUAGACAUUUAACACGUGACGUGCAGCUAAUCGCUCAGAGCAGUGCUUGUGCACCACCCGUAAUCCCUGAAUGUACAUUUGAGCGUUUUCGCCAGUGAAAGCCCUAGCUUUUAAUCACUUUUUUUGUUUUAACCAUGAGAAUGGGGUUUUAUUCAUCUCUGCUGUUUGUCCUCGCUCAAUAGGGCACGAAUGUCAUGCUUGGCACCCAGCAGGUUUCCUUCGCUGUGUCAAAAAAGUGAGGUGAGACCGCAGAUACACCACCGUCGGGAGAUGAUCGUGACGGUUACGAAUGGUGAUAAUGAACGGCGAUUAUCAAGGGCAUUUUAUUCUGUUUGCUUUUGAAGCAUGUGUCUAGGGGAGUAAAACAAAGUGCUUAAGGCUUAAGGAUUUCCAGUAUCGUGGAAACUCCAGGAACUGUAAGGCAGACGCUAAAUUUGAGGUCAUCUCACUCUCUGAGACGCUACAUUGUGUCUUGUGAGAGACUAGUUUUGCUUUCUGAGAAUUAGACUGAGAGUUCUAGAUAUUGUACUUGCCCAAGUGGUAUUAGAUUCAGUUUGUGGCUGGGAUAUUAAUGUGGUGACAUCAGCUGCAGAGCAAAUAUGGUAUUCUCAGUGAUCUGUAGAAUUAUCCAUUGAAGAAAACAUUCGAGUUUGACUGCGCUAUCCCAUUAUUUCUACCCGUCUGUCGAGUGAUGUCAUUAUAGUUAACACCCAAAUAAUGCAUUACAUUCAGUCAACCUUGCCACAGUGUUACAUAAACAAUGUGUGUUGUUUGGGUGUACUUUCUAUCAGUGGUACAGCAGUACAAAAACAAUGUGAGUUUGUUAUAUGGUGGUGCAUUCUGUCAAUGUUGCUACAAUGUUACCUAAACAAUGUGAGUGUGCAGAUCAGAUUUAUAUUCUGUCAGCUUUGCUACAAUGCUAUGUAACCACCCAAACAGUUGUACAAUGCCGUUGGGUGUGACCUGUUAGCAUUUCUCAGCAAGUGCAAAAUGUGUAGGUUUCCAUUGAACAGUCAAUGUUGUGGUUCCUUUGUAUGUUUGAGAAGAGCGUGUUAGCAGCGUUGGGAUUUCUUUUCCAGUUUUAAAUGUAUCGGAAUAGCCUUACUGCACUUCACUGUUGCAUUAAACAUUCUUUAGCUCCUGAAGAUGGAUGGAAUCCCUGAGAAAAGUCAAAACUUAACCCACAGCUUUCUGUCUUUCCAUUUUGCACUGUAUACUACGAGUUAAGUGUAGUACUCUUUGAUUGGUUGAAGUGUGAAAGGGAAGACUACAGGAGAGCUACACCCAUAAGGCGGACUGAAGCAAGUUAUUUGAUAAACUUGGCAUAGCCUCGUGUUGCUUAAGGUGGGCUAAAACUCCCAUGAAUGUGAAGUUUGAAGAUGCACAUUGUCCACAUAAGUACAACUUGUAGGAGGGCAUCAGCGCCACACAGUGAGGAGCCAGGUGGUCAAAAUUUUAAAGCGUGGCCCCCUUUUCGUGUCCAAAAAAAAAAAGUUAUGUGUUAUAUUUUGUAACAUUGCUGUUGCAAUUUCGUUUCAGUUAUCACCACAACCGUGUAAGCUAUGAUAAACCUAGGUUACCCUCAGCUAACCCUAACUUGAAAAUAGGUAGUAAAUCAUUAGAAUAAUUGGAUUGGAUGAAGUGUACAUUUGAAUGUCGUAGAUGUGCCUGUGUAGUCAUUAGUGAUCUGUGAAAAUACUAUUUUUUUCCCCUUACAUCUAUUUCACUAAAUUAUGUCAGUAAAGGUUUGAGGCAACAUGGAAACUUGCAGUUUCAAUAACGAUAAUUGUUAUGCAUAAUGAUAAUAAUGAAAAUUAUUACACAUAAUAUGUUUAACCACAUGUUGACUCUCGGUUGCAAAAAGAGAUGUGAAAAUAGAUUUUUUUUUUCCCCCGUUUCCCAGCUUGCUUCAGUAGGAAGGCUGUGAUAGGCUUUUGGUUGGUUUAAUGUUUGAUUUUUUUUUUUUUUUAAACACAAUAAACUGUAGGAAUACAAUGCCCAUAGGAUCCUGCAGGAAAAAAAAAAGAUUGUGAUUGAGUGAGGUUUGUCCUAUGACAUAUGCCUGCAUUUAUGUUUAGUACUGUGAAAUCCAUUAAAUAUUCAAAAAGAG